UGUGAAGGUGUGUCGUGAGGCAUGCUGGAGGUAUCAGAAGUGCGAAUGCUGACAUGAGUAACGAUAAUGCGGGUGAAAAACCCGCACGCCGAAAGCCCAAGGUUUCCUGCGCAAUGCUAAUCAGCGCAGGGUGAGUCGGCCCCUAAGGCGAGACCGAAAGGUGUAGUCGAUGGGAAAAAGGUUAAUAUUCCUUUACUUUGUGUUACUGCGAUGGGGGGACGGAGAAGGCUAGAUCUACCGGGUGUUGGUUUACCCGGGGAAAGUAUGUAGGCAGAGAGCUUAGGCAAAUCCGGGCUCUUAAUGUCGAGAUACGAGACGACCGGCCUUUGUGCCGGGAAGUGGUCGGUGCCAUGCUCCCAGGAAAAGCCUCUAAGCUUCAGGUAACACAGAACCGUACCGAAAACCAACACAGGUGGGCAGGGAGAGAAUCCUAAGGCGCUUGAGAAAACUCUGGUGAAGGAACUAGGCAAAUUGGUACCGUAACUUCGGGAGAAGGUACGCCUCUGCUGGUGAUGAGACUUGCUCUCUAAGCUGGUGGGGGUCGAAGUGACCAGGUGGCUGCGACUGUUUACUAAAAACACAGCACUCUGCAAACACGUAAGUGGACGUAUAGGGUGUGACGCCUGCCCGGUGCCGGAAGGUUAAUUGAUGGGGUUAGCUUCGGCGAAGCUCUUGAUCGAAGCCCCGGUAAACGGCGGCCGUAACUAUAACGGUCCUAAGGUAGCGAAAUUCCUUGUCGGGUAAGUUCCGACCUGCACGAAUGGCGUAACGAUGGCCACACUGUCUCCACCAGAGACUCAGUGAAAUUGAAAUCGCUGUUAAGAUGCAGCGUACCCGCGGCAAGACGGAAAGACCCCGUGCACCUUUACUAUAGCUUUACACUGAAUUUUGAAUAUGUUUGUGUAGGAUAGGUGGGAGGCUUUGAAGCGUGAACGCUAGUUUGCGUGGAGCCACCCUUGAAAUACCACCCUGAUAUGUCUGGAGUUCUAACCCAGGUCCGUUAUCCGGAUCGGGGACCGUGUAUGGUGGGUAGUUUGACUGGGGCGGUCUCCUCCUAAAGAGUAACGGAGGAGCACAAAGGUACUCUCGGUACGGUCGGAUAUCGUACGUUGCGUGUAAAGGCAUAAGAGUGCUUGACUGCGAGACAGACACGUCGAGCAGGGGCGAAAGCCGGUCUUAGUGAUCCGGUGGUUCUGUAUGGAAGGGCCAUCGCUCAACGAAUAAAAGGUACGCCGGGGAUAACAGGCUGAUUCCUCCCAAGAGUCCACAUCGACGGAGGAGUUUGGCACCUCGAUGUCGGCUCAUCACAUCCCGGGGCUGUAGCAGGUCCCAAGGGUAUGGCUGUUCGCCAUUUAAAGUGGUACGCGAGCUGGGUUUAGAACGUCGUGAGACAGUUCGGUCCCUAUCUGCCGUGGGCGUUGGAAAUUUGAGAAGAGCUGCUCCUAGUACGAGAGGACCGGAGUGGACGUAUCUCUGGUGUUCCGGUUGUCACGCCAGUGGCAUUGCCGGGUAGCUAUAUACGGACGGGAUAACCGCUGAAAGCAUCUAAGCGGGAAGCCCCCUUCAAGAUUAGAUUUCCCUGGACCCUUGAGGUCCCUGAAGAGCCCUCGAAGACUACGAGGUUGAUAGGCUGGGUGUGGAAGUUCAGUAAUGGAUGAAGCUAACCAGUACUAAUUGCUCGUGAGGCUUGGCCAU
rnacentral:rRNA from 1 species